GAAAAGCUAGAAAGCGUAGCAGUUUUGCUGCAUGUUAUUCAACUUGCAUGAACCGCUCUUUUGAAAUUUUGAUGCUGGGAGAUUAUAUCUCUUAAUAUCUGGAGACAAACAGGGAUAUAGAUCGAAGCUUGGGAAUAAAUCGCAAUGUCCCAUCGGGACGAGAGGUACAACGGUCAUCAGACCGCAGGCAGUAGUGGGAGGACCCACUACAGUACCCGGGACAGUCGAGUGGAUCGUCGGCACUGGCAGUACAACGACCGGGGCAUUUUAACACGAGACGUAGGAAUUGCAGCACCAUCACUUGCGUACAACCAGGAUUGGCUAGAUGACCCCAACGCAAGCAGACAUAAUGGAAGCUAUGAAUUGUGGGAUCGGGAGCCUAUGUACUACUAUGGUGGAGAGAGGCCGCGUUCGCGACCCAGGCAAUCGCAAAAGAGGAACGCCGGCAGACACCGGCGUCCGGCGGUCAACAACAGACGCGUCAAUGUAGUAUACAACCCCAGUAUAAGAAGGAGGGAAGACCACCGAGCCUCGAUGCGUUCGUCUUCCGACCCCCAGCGUGAUCAAGACGGGGACCCACCCGAAAAGGAGGGAGGGAUCUACAAAAGUGUCGUAGAUUUUGCAACGGAUACCACGACGGCCCAUGGCUUUCCGAACAUGUUUAAGGCGACAUCUACUAUCGGGCGAUUGAUAUGGGCCUUCAUCUUCUUCACGGCUCUCGGCGUGUUCAUCUGGCAGGCCAGUGUGUUGGUCAGAAGAUAUUUCAUGUUUCCUGUUUCUGUUGAAGUUGAGAUAAUCACCAAGGCGGAGUUGGAGUUUCCUGCUGUGACCGUUUGCAACACCAACAAGGUCAGACGUUCGGCCCUCAAACAGUCAAAGUACAAAGAGGCACUGGUCAUUGAUGAUGGAGAGACGCUGCCUUAUUACGGGCCAUGCAUUGUAGGGGACUUUGAAUGCGGCUCCAACAAUCUCUGCCUGAAACAGUUCCUGCGCUGUGACGGCAUCAAUCACUGCCGCGAUUUCAGCGAUGAAUUUGGUUGUAGUUAUGAGAAAUGUGAUUCCAACGAGUUUCAAUGCGCCAAUGGUAGUAUUUUUGGGAUCUGUAUCAGUUCGACGUUGAAAUGCGACCGCCAGCGAGACUGCUAUGACGGAGAUGAUGAAACAGACUGCCCUUGUAAGCCGACAGAGUUCCAGUGUCACAGAGGAGGAUGCAUCCCGAAGUUUUCUCGGUGUGAUGACAAAAAAGACUGCGUGGACAACAGUGACGAAGAAAACUGUGCUAUCGACGGCGAAUGCACGGGGGCCUUCCGAUGCACCAGCGACGGUUCAUGCGUACCGAUGUUUUAUGUAUGCGACAAAGAAGAUGACUGUUUAGGCGGUGAAGACGAGACACCUGAAGCAUGUGCUUCCGUUACUGCACCAACUUCUACUUCUUCGCCAUGUACGACAGAUCAGUUUGAAUGUGGGGACGGCACCUGCAUACUUAGUAAUUGGGUUUGUGACGAAGAUGUGGACUGUGUGACCACUCGAGCUGACGAGAACCCCAUGAUGUGUGGACGAGGUGACCAAACAUACGGUACGCAACGUUGCGGCGACCAGGAGUGGUUGUGUGGUAACCAGUGGCAGUGCAUCCAUAACACAGACCGCUGCGACCUGUGGCCAGACUGCUACAGUGAAGGGCAGAUCUCGGACGAUGAAUACAACUGCACGUGUACAUUGGCGAGUGCAGAACCGUCGUUAUCGCAGAAGGUUAAGUGCCUCGGAGCGGCAGGAAGGGACACUAGUAUUGGCUAUCCCACCGUAGAUAUGAGCAAAUUCCAAGGCAUGAGUUGCUACAACCAUCUUGAGGCCAACCCUACGCCCCAGCCUGUCUGGGAUUGGGAUGCGUAUGUCUGCCACGGCGAUGUUGUUUGUGCAAAUGCGGCCACUGAUUUCCCUGAGCUUUGUCAAGUCUUCCAAGAGUGCUACUUGGCUCCAAACGCCCAAGACUACCGAGGGCGGGUAGGCCACACGUCUUCUUCAACCCUGUGUCAAGACUGGAGUAACGACACCGCUGUCAAUGCGGGCUUCUCCCCGGACGUCUACCCAGAGCUGCUUGGUCCCGUCUGCCGUAAUCCUGGUGGCAUUCGCAGCUUCGCUUGGUGUUUCAGGGAAGGUGCAACCACUGCGGAUGACUGGGAGCUGUGCGACAUCGGGCCGCCGUCGGCAACUUGCCACCCUGGCGUGGACCUACCGGUCCGCCUGGCCGGCAAAGUAAAUCCCUCGGAGGGUCGGGUGGAGGUACAGCACCAAGGGGUGUGGGGAACGGUCUCUGACAGUGACUGGACCAUUGAGGAUGCCACGGUGGUCUGCAGGCAGCUGGGAUUUGAUGGGGCCUCUGGACGAAGCACCUUUGCAGCCAGCACGGGAAGCAUAUUCAUGUCACAGGUCAAGUGCACCGGUCAUGAGUCCUUCCUUGUGGAUUGUCAGUAUCACGUCGUCAUGCCGUCCGAGGGUUUGAGCCACAAUAUGGAUGUCAGCGUCACUUGUUCAGGAAUGAGGCAAAAGAGACAAGCAGAGGAGGAAGAGGUUGUUGCAACCGGCAACUGCUCACACGCUGAAUUCCAGUGCCAUAGUGGGGAGUGCAUCCCUGCCUGGCAAACGUGUAACAACUUCCCCGACUGUGAAGACGGCAGCGAUGAGUAUGUCGAUCUUGAGUGCGAGGAUCCCGAAUCUAAGUGUCCAGUUCAUGAGAAGCCAUGUCGUGGUUCCAAGCACUGUAUCCUACGCACGUUUGAAUGCGACGGAUUUAGUGACUGCUUGAGUGGUACCGAUGAACAAUUCUGUAACGACCCAAAUGAGCCCUGUCCAGAGGAUUAUUUCCAGUGUAACAACGGCAAGUGUAUCCACGUAUUCAGGGUCUGCAACACCAUCGUAGAUUGCCAGGGUGGAGAAGACGAAACUCAAAAUUGCUCUUAUAAGUCGUCUGAUGAUGGACUGUUGAAUCCUUUCCAGACCAAUGCCUGGAAGGAUCCCUUCCGACCCUUCAUCCCUGAGGACAUCCAAGAAGAAUUCUUCCUGAGUUUCCGGGAAGACUUCUACACCCCUCGCCCGUUCAGCCGCGUCGGGCGCGAGGAUCCGGCCGACUGGCAGCGCUUCGUGACCUUCAGCGAGCUGCCGGACUACAGCGAUCUGAGCGAGGUCUUGAAACUGACGGCAGAGGAGAUUUCGCAGUACGGACACCAAUUCAGUGACUUUAUUCUGCAGUGUACGUACGACGGCAUUGAUUGCACCUACGGUCAGUUCAUUCAUAUCCAGAAUGAGAAGUACGGCAACUGUUUCACGUUCAAUUAUCGAGAAGAAUCGGGAGAAGCAGUACGGAACUCUUCAAGGACGGGGGAACAGUCAGGUCUUUCACUGACCCUGUUCGUCGAGCAGGACGAGUAUUUGAGUCUCCACGGUCGAGAGGUAGGGGUCAGGGUAUCUAUCACCACGCCUGACGUCGCUCCGUUGCCCGCUAACGAAGGAAUCAACUUGUCGCCGGGUGCUGUAACUUCCAUCGGGGUCAGAUAUAAUGUAAUUAGUCGGAAGCCACAUCCGUUUGGCACUUGCCAAGUGAACACGACUACAGUUUUGGAGAUCGUGAACGGCAAGAUAGUCCAAGUCGAAACCAAUAACUACAAUCGCAAGCACUGUCUUCGGGUUUGCGUCCUUCAAAAAGUCCUUCAGAUUUGCAAUUGUUCUGACUCUAUGGAACUGGAUGGAGAAAGAUGCAAACUCCUGGAUGCGACGCAAGAUCUGUGCAAGCAGAUGGUGUACUAUCUUCACUCUCAUGGUUUUCUGAAUUGCUCUUGCGGUACCCAAUGCAUUGAUCGUCUGUACACUACAACUGUGUCCCAGUCUGCGUGGCCAUCAGACGCUUUCAGGCCACACCUUCUACGUAACAUCCACUACUUGAACCCUAAAACCAGCAAAAUCCGAUCAGAAGAACAGAUACGUAAAAACCUGGUGCGAUUGAAGAUAUUUUUUGAAGAAUUGAAUUAUCAGGAGACGCGAGAGGUGGAGGAUUACUCGGGCACCAGUCUCUUUGGUGACAUCGGUGGCACCAUUGGGUUGUACAUCGGCUUCUCCAUCAUCACUUUCAUUGAGUUCAUCGAACUGCUCUUGUACCUCAUUCGCACAAGUUGCUGUAAAUGGACUAAAGCACGCAACAAUUAAAAUCUUGGACACAAGCAAAAUUGCCUUCGUUCUUUCUCUCCAGUAUUCCACUAAUUGCACGUAUUUCAUGUACAUGUACUUUAGUUUGACUCUUUUGCAAUGAAAUAAAACGAAAUAAAUUUGUCUUCAAUACACACACUGUAGUGAAGAGCUUAUGGUCAAUACCUUUAAUUAACAAGUUCACGAUGGGAUUAUUUUGACAAGAAUGGAACGAGGCGCGGAGUUACUUUUCACCUGACCUCAAGCCAGGCGGGUUCAAUUAAGCCAUCUCCCUCGGGCAGCACCCUCAUUAUCUGGCCUCGCUCGUCGCUGACGGAUAUUUCCAGCCUCGCUCAUUGCAUGUUAUCUGUCAUCCGUUCGGAAUACCACAAAACCUUUGUGUAUCCUGCAAAACCUUUGCUUGUAUAUAAGGUCUCCGGCGCGAACUGGUUAAAACCAGUACUUCUACUUGCAUGAAGUCUAAUUCAAUGUUUUACAAUUGAUGCAAUGAAAUAAAUAAUUUGUCAAUUUUGUAUUCAUGUUUUUGGUGAUGACAAUUGUCAAAAUCUUAGUAUUAUGGCCUCUGCUUACAUGAACUUUAAUUCAAAAUGUUCUGCAAUGAAGUGAAAGAAAGUUACUCGCCUGUCCUUUCAUUGUUAUAUGUUGACUGUCCCAGAUUAUUAACAUUAACAUUUUAUUUUAUUUUUUAUUUUAUCACCAGACAAUAAUAACAGUAAACGUUUUCAGUACUAAACCCCUGUUUUUAGAGUUGGGGACUUUUAAAGACUAUGCUGCUAAGAUAUUCAUUAAUCAAUUGUUGAUUUUUAGUUACAUAUACAAUUGAAAGUAUGUAAGAGAAAUACUAUGAAGAGUUGUUACUUCUUCUUCAGUGUUUUAUCAGAAAGUAGGGAAGGGUCGGCUUUACAAAAGAAUGAGAGAUAUUUUGGACUGUGAGACAAUGAGCUGCAGUUUCGAAAAUCACAGGCCCAGUUGCCAACCCAGGCUGCAUAAAGGAAUUUUUAUUGAAACUUUACCUGACAUAUUGAACUGCUGGACUAUAUCAAUUUCAACUGAACAAAAUACAGUAUUUUCCUAAUUACUUUCCUAAUAAGCUACAUUUUGUACAAGAUGAAAAAAUAGCAAAGUCUGAAUUUUUGUAAUGUUCCAAGAAAUACAAACCAUUGUUUUAAAUUGUUAGUAGAGAAAGAAAUAAAGUAGUAGAAAAUAAUUCUUUCCGUGAAAAAUUUAUAUAUCAAAAAAACCCAAAUGCACAGUGUUUCCAUUCUUGUAGAUAUUUUAGUUGGAAAUCAUGUAGACUGGUCGCAGCUGUUAACUAAAAUUAUUUUUAUGAAAUUAGUUUCAACCAAAAAAAAAGUAUUCCUGAUAAAUAAACUUAGUUUGACUUGCAGCCAGAGUAAUAUAUCACCUAGCAUGAUUAAUACCAAGAAAGGAAACAUCUAGAUAUGUAUGAAAUAAUUUUAAUAUAAUGUGAGAGAUGUUGAUGUUAUCAAAACAAUCUUAUUUUACAUGUAUUCUUAUAGAAUUUAUGCCAAGUUUAUUAAGUUCAGACUGAAACUUUUCUAGCAAAGAGAAUAAAGUAUAUUUUUUUCCAAAUAGAA
rnacentral:misc_RNA from 1 species